rnacentral:rRNA from 1 species
GACAGAGGGUGCAAACGUUGUUCGGAAUUACUGGGCGUAAAGCGCGUGUAGGCAGCUCGGAAAGUCGGAUGUGAAAGCCCUGGGCUCAACCUAGGAAGUGCAUUCGAAACUUCCAAGCUCGAGUGCUGGAGAGGAAGGCGGAAUUCUCGGUGUAGAGGUGAAAUUCGUAGAUAUCGAGAGGAACACCGGUGGCGAAGGCGGCCUUCUGGACAGUAACUGACGCUGAGACGCGAAAGCGUGGGGAGCAAACAGG